rnacentral:ribozyme from 1 species
AACGAUGGAAAGAAAAAAGAAACAGAAGAAAAGGAACCAGAAGACACCUCUGGGAAAGAAACAAUUCUCUCUCUCUUUUCUUUUCUUCGCUCUUCUGCAUUCUCUUCUUAUCUUCGCUCUCUCUCGGGCCUGGAAUUGGUCAAGGGAGAAGGGGAAGUCAGGAGGUUUGGGCAUGGCUGCUACACUCUCAUGAAUGA